GGCAGAGGCGAUAGUCGAUUGAAUUCCCCAGUUCCCAAUGGAUCACUGAAGUUAAGCAAAGUUGGGCGUGGUUAGUAUCCGGAUAACUUACCAUUCCAGGCAAUCGCGUGCUACUGACU
rnacentral:rRNA from 1 species